GAUGAAGAACGUAGCGAAAUGCGAUAAGUAAUGUGAAUUGCAGAAUUCAGUGAAUCAUCGAAUCUUUGAACGCACAUUGCGCCCGCCAGUAUUCUGGCGGGCAUGCCUGUUCGAGCGUCAUUUCAACCAUCAAGCCCCCGGCUUGUGUUGGGGACCUGCGGCUGCCGCAGGCCCUGAAAACCAGUGGCGGGCUCGCUAGUCACUCCGAGCGUAGUAAUACAUCUCGCUCAGGGCGUGCUGCGGGUUCCGGCCGUUAAAAAGCCUUAUUUACCCAAGGUUGACCUCGAUCAGGUAGGAAGACCCGCUGAACUUAAGCAUAUCAAUAAGCGGAGGA
rnacentral:misc_RNA from 1 species